rnacentral:snoRNA from 1 species
UUGCAUGAUGAUAAUACACUUUACUUUAUUUUCUGGUACCUCUUAUGCUAGAGCCCUCGGCUCAAUGAAUGAACUGGACUUCUGAUU